AUGUGCCACUUUGGCACUGCGGUUCUGAGCGCACGGUCCACGCCCGCCUGACGGCUGCUCGCGACGUUUUGUUGUUC
rnacentral:sRNA from 1 species